CCUACGGGCGGCAGCAGUGGGGAAUAUUGCACAAUGGGGGAAACCCUGAUGCAGCGACGCCGCGUGAGUGAAGAAGUAUUUCGGUAUGUAAAGCUCUAUCAGCAGGGAAGAAAAUGACGGUACCUGAUUAAGAAGCCCCGGCUAACUACGUGCCAGCAGCCGCGGUAAUACGUAGGGGGCAAGCGUUAUCCGGAUUUACUGGGUGUAAGGGGAGCGUAGACGGCAGCACAAGGCUGGAGUGAAAUGCCGGGGCUUAACCCCCGAACUGCUUUGGAAACUGUGCAGCUAGAGUGCAGGAGAGGUAAGUGGAAUUCGUAGUGUAGCGGUGAAAUGCGUAGAUAUUACGAAGAACCCCAGUUGCGAAGGCAGCUUACUGGACUGUAACUGACGUUGAGGCUCGAAAGCGUGGGUAGCAAACAGGAUUAGAUACCCCUGUAGUC
rnacentral:rRNA from 1 species